rnacentral:miRNA from 1 species
UGAUGAUGAUGAUGACGAUGGUGAUAAUAAUGACGAUGGUGAUGAAUGAGGAAAUGGCUACUACCAACGAUUACGCAUCAUCGUGAUCAUGAUGAUCAUUCUCUUAUUAC